rnacentral:rRNA from 1 species
UAACCUGCCCAAGAGAUCGGGAUAACACCUGGAAACAGAUGCUAAUACCGGAUAACAACAGAUGAUGCCUAUCAACUGUUUAAAAGAUGGUUCUGCUAUCACUCUUGGAUGGACCUGCGGUGCAUUAGCUAGUUGGUAGGGUAACGGCCUACCAAGGCGAUGAUGCAUAGCCGAGUUGAGAGACUGAUAGGCCACAUUGGGACUGAGACACGGCCCAAACUCCUACGGGAGGCAGCAGGC